rnacentral:rRNA from 1 species
GAUGAACGCUAGCGGCAGGCUUAACACAUGCAAGUCGAGGGGCAGCACGUGGGUAGCAAUACUCAUGGUGGCGACCGGCGCAAGGGUGCGUAACACGUGAGCAACAUGCCCGUAUCAGGGGGAUAACCCAUGGAAACGUGGACUAAACCUCCAUAGUAUCGGAGAGAGGCAUCUUUUUCAGAUUAAAUCCGGCGACGGAGGAUACGGAUUGGCUCGCGGGGCAUUAGCUGGAUGGUAGGGUAAUGGCCUACCAUGGCGACGAUGCCUAGGGGUUCUGAGAGGAAGGUCCCCCACACUGGAACUGAGACACGGUCCAGACUCCUACGGGAGGCAGCAGUGAGGAAUAUUGGACAAUGGAUGGAAAUCUGAUCCAGCCAUGCCGCGUGCAGGAAGGCGGUCCUAUGGAUUGUAAACUGCUUUUGUACGGGAGCAAUAAUUUCUACGGGAUAGGGAGAUGAGAGUACCGUACGAAUCAGCAUCGGCUAACUCCGUGCCAGCAGCCGCGGUAAUACGGAGGAUGCGAGCGUUAUCCGGAUUUAUUGGGUUUAAAGGGUGCGUAGGCUGUAAUUUAAGUCAGUGGUGAAAUGUACGGGCUUAACCGGUGAUAUGUCAUUGAUACUGGAUUGCUGGAAUACGGAUGCGAUAUGCGGAAUGUGUAGUGUAGCGGUGAAAUGCAUAGAUAUUACACAGAACACCGAUUGCGAAGGCAGCAUACCAAGGCGGGAUUGACGCUGAAGCACGAAAGUGUGGGGAUCGAACAGGAUUAGAUACCCUGGUAGUCC